GCCUGGUUAGCUCAAUCGGUAGAGCGUGCGACUCUUAAACCCGCGAGGGAACAAGUAAUCGCAAGGCUGUGGGUUCGACCCCCACAUCGGGCG